GGGUUGUGAGGUUAAGCGACUAAGCGUACACGGUGGAUGCCCUGGCAGUCAGAGGCGAUGAAGGGCGUGCUAAUCUGCGAUAAGCGCCGGUAAGGUGAUAUGAACCGUUAUAACCGGCGAUACCCGAAUGGGGAAACCCAGUGUGACUCGUCACACUAUCAUUAACUGAAUUCAUAGGUUAAUGAGGCGAACCGGGGGAACUGAAACAUCUAAGUACCCCGAGGAAAAGAAAUCAACCGAGAUUCCCCCAGUAGCGGCGAGCGAACGGGGAGGAGCCCAGAGCCUGAAUCAGCAUGUGUGUUAGUGGAAGCGUCUGGAAAGGCGCGCGAUACAGGGUGACAGCCCCGUACACAAAAGCGCAUAUGCUGUGAGCUCGAUGAGUAGGGCGGGACACGUGGUAUCCUGUCUGAAUAUGGGGGGACCAUCCUCCAAGGCUAAAUACUCCUGACUGACCGAUAGUGAACCAGUACCGUGAGGGAAAGGCGAAAAGAACCCCGGCGAGGGGAGUGAAAAAGAACCUGAAACCGUGUACGUACAAGCAGUGGGAGCACCCUUUGGGGUGUGACUGCGUACCUUUUGUAUAAUGGGUCAGCGACUUAUAUUCUGUAGCAAGGUUAACCGAAUAGGGGAGCCGGAGGGAAACCGAGUCUUAA
rnacentral:rRNA from 1 species